rnacentral:rRNA from 1 species
AACGAACGCUGGCGGCAGGCCUAACACAUGCAAGUCGAACGCCCUAGCAAUAGGGAGUGGCAGACGGGUGAGUAACACGUGGGAACCUUCCCAAUAGUACGGAAUAGCCCUGGGAAACUUGGAGUAAUACCGUAUACGCCCGAAAGGGGAAAGAUUUAUCGCUAUUGGAUGGGCCCGCGUCGGAUUAGCUAGUUGGUGAGGUAACGGCUCACCAAGGCGACGAUCCGUAGCUGGUUUGAGAGAACGACCAGCCACACUGGGACUGAGACACGGCCCAGACUCCUACGGGAGGCAGCAGUGGGGAAUCUUGGACAAUGGGCGCAAGCCUGAUCCAGCCAUGCCGCGUGAGUGACGAAGGUCUUCGGAUUGUAAAGCUCUUUUGGCGGGGACGAUAAUGACGGUACCCGCAGAAUAAGCCCCGGCUAACUUCGUGCCAGCCGCCGCCGUAA